AUAUAUAUAUAUAUAUAUAUAUGAGUAGGUGAUGCUUCUCUUGAUGCUGAGAGGUAGCCAUUGUGCCUCACAGAGGAAGUGGAAUCAAACAAACCAAAAUAAACUGGGGCUGUAUCUUAGGUUGGAUUCCAGUGUCACAAAACUAUGAUUUCAGUGGAAACAAGCUUAUUUACAAUGCCUCUGUCGACAGUGCCAACUGGCGGAGCCAAUAAACUCUUCUGCAUGGUUACAAGAGACUUGAGUGCAACCC
rnacentral:lncRNA from 1 species